UAGGUAUAUAUGAAGAAAUCACAGGACAGUGGUGGUCCUUUCAUUGAAGUACAUGAUUUAUGAUGCAUAGUUUUGCAAGCGUGCAAGGGAAGUAUUCAAUGGUCUUGUCAGAAAAGUCUGUGUCAGUGACUAGAUCAAUGUAAAGACUUGCGAAGUAAACUAAACUUUUGAGUUUCCUGUUUAGUGAAUAGCUUUGUUCGAGUUAUGGAAGGUAGAGGUUGAAAAGUGUUUGGUAUUAUAGAGAACAGACUGCUAAUAUUUAAAUCAGGUGAAAAGACCAGGGACUAACGCCAUCAAAACUUUAUGCAAUGGGUUGAAAACCAAUUGUUGCCAAAUUUUCUUGAAAGGUCCUUUCUUGUAGUCGACAAUGCAGCAUAUCACAAUGUACCGUUAACAAAAAAUAUUACAAGGGCUUCAAUGAAACAUGACAUUAUAAAUUGGUUCGUUCUUACCCUGAUUAGUAUGCAACUAACGAUACUCUGUAUUGUUAUGUUAGUUGCAUAUAUGAUCUUGAGUAUUUCAUCUAAAUAUGCCCUGUUAUACUGGUUACAUACCUAUGGUCAUUAUGCAUAUUUGUUAAUAAUAAUUUAUCAUUACAUAAUGAUUAGUAUGCAACCAGCAAAACACUUUAUACUUUAUAAGUUGACUAUCAUAGUCAAAAUCAUUUAAUUAUUAUCAAAUUAUCAUAAAUUUUAAUCGAGUGAACAAAUACUUUUUUGUUGAAAAAUCGAUUUAAAUAUUCCUUUUAAACUGAUGGAAUGUUUUUGAAAUUUGAUUUUAUCAAUUGUUUACAAUUAACGAAAAUUGUUUAUAUAUCUGUGUGCUCAUUUUUCUAAGCUAUUUCAUCGAACAUUUAUAUAAUUUAAAUGCUGAUGGAAAAUUGAGAGUCAAGUGACAGAUUACAAGACAAUCUGUAUAGAUAUCAUUGUAGUAUGUCAGAUUUUCUACAAAUGAAUAUCAUGUCAUUUUAAAUAGUCUUCCUAGUCCAAAUGAUCUCUAGUUAACUGUAGUUGUGCUCUUCAAUGUGCUGGGUUUAAGAGAAGUUCGAAUGACUUGGUCAUCAUAUACUUGCUUUUUUUGUUGAUAGCUACCCAAAAUCCUGGCGAAACGAAGCAGCAGCUUUUUUUACCCGCUCUAAAGUUGUUAUCUUUCAUUUCUUGUCAGAUUUAGGAAUCGAAGAUUAUUCUAAAUGUGAGAAGCCUUCCCCGGUAGCAUAAAAUAUUGAUUAGUAGAAAGAUAGGGCGAUGACAGUAAAAGAAAUAUUAAAUUUAAAAAAAAAGUUUGAACCAAAUAACAAAUUAUGACUAAAUUUAAGUAUUGGAAUGGGUUACUGUUAUGUUAAAGACCUAAAAUAGUUUUUCAAUAAAAUAGACUCAAAACAUUAAUUCUAAUUUAUUCAUUUAGGUAAAUACGACAAGUUAUUUUCCAUAUUCACAUACUAGAUCAAUGGUGGAUUACUCCAUCAUAAUUAUUUAUGAGCAUAUCCCUUCUUUGCAUAAUGGUGAAAAUUUCCACUAUAAUAUUGAAUGCCCAAAAAUUAUAUAAAAGUUCACUUUAAGUUGAUCGUGUCUGAUACCUUUUUACUGAGCAUUGCAUUAAAAAAACCAUAUUGUCAUUGUUAAUAAAACGAGUUUGAAGUUGUAGUUGCAAUAAACGUAUGAUUUCGUUUUUAAUUUAAAAAAUUACACAUGAUAGAAUUUUACAUUACUAUGGAGGUUAGGUUAUAUCUUCCUAUGACCACUUAUGAAAAUGAUAGAUUGCGCACACAUUUUUACAUAAGAAAGUAGCUUAUUUCACACAUGUACUAAAAAAUAACAAAACAUACAUUUAUUCAAAUGCCACAUUUAAGAAGACUAAAGAAGUAAACAUUAUGAUUUUUUGAGGUUAUAUUAGUGUUUACAAUAAAAAUGAAAGGUUUGUUGUUAUUUGUGUUCAAAUAUAUACUGGUGACUACAAGGUAAUUUAAAUGUUAAAAUUAAGUGUUAUUACUAUUACUGAGUAAUAAUAGUGUCUACAAUAAAAUUUGAAAGUUUA